AACAAUUGUGGUUUUAUGAUUACUUUUCCAAUAUUUUUUCAUUUGUCAAAGUUUUUCUCUCUCUUCCCCCCCCCCCCCUCUCUCUCGUAAGCUCUCACUCUUUCUCCUCACACUUUCAUCUCUCUUUCUCCUCCCCAUCUCAUCCUUCACCAUAACAUCCACACCACAGCCUCCACCACCAUCGACAAAUCAAUCACUCGUAAGGGUGAGGGAGUGGCCGAGUGAGAGAAGCCGGCGGGAGAGAAGUUCUGGCGAGGAGGAGGAGUUCCGGCCGAGAGAGUUCUUGUGGCCGUUUGUGGUGACACGGCGGUGCUUGGCAACGGCGGCAAUGAAGCUUCUUGCUCCUUCUUUCCUCUGGCUCCAUGGAAGGAUAAGGCUCCUCCAUGAAUUUGAUCUUUGGAUGUUAAUAAACUCAGGUGACUAGAAAAAUCACUAUGACCACAAUAUCAGAAAGAGAUGAAUGAUGGUUGGGUUGAUUUGGAAAAGGCACCUGAUGGAUCUUUCAAGAAGAAGAUUCUGGGGUCAAUCUGGAAGGCUCCGCUCUAAAGUUGAGAAAGGAACUUUUGGACGAGGUAUUCUAUAGACCAAGCAGGAAAGGUGCAUGCAGAAUUAGUGUAGUAGACGAAGCCAAUGUGUAUGGAAAGGGAAGCAAUAAGAUAAAUUUUCGAGAAUCUGUUUCGUAUUGAAAAAAUGGCUAGAAUGGAGCAUUUUUGUUGAAAUGGAUUCAGGCCAGCAAAUAAAGCUGCAGGGAUGGCAUCUAGAGAUGGUGAUCUUGAUUUGAAUCUUUCACAGCCUAGGUCUGGACAGUUGUCUACCAGACAAAUUACAUCAAGUCCAGAAGCAAAACCUUUGGAUUUUGUGAUCCGCCCCCAGUCUAAAAUUGAUCCUGGUGAAAUUAGAGCACAUGCAAAACAAUAUGAAUAAGAAAUUGCAGCAGUUGAGGGCUCCAAAAAAGAAGCAGCUUCAAGCUACAAAGCUGAGUGUGGAAUGUCGUGGUAUGGUCAAAUACUUAUGAAUGCGGCUAAUAUUGCUUUUUAGGGGAGUGUGGAUAGGUAUUUAUGAUUACUACUAUUUUAUAAGGAUGACUACAUCACCAUUGCUACUUUUUAGGAAGUCUUGAGCAUCCAAUCCUAUAUUUUUGCAUAACUCCUUCACUAAUCCACGCAUAUUUUCUCAUUGAUCACAUACACCAAUCUUCUAAUUUUCUUUUCUAUUCAUCUCCUCUGCGUUUUGUCUAUCCUAUCUCAACACUGUCUUCUUCUAACCCUUCAUUUUCCAUAUGGCAUCCUAUCUCACAUAAUUAAAUGACUAAUGGAAAAUUUAACAUGGAUAUAAGGAUCAGUGAUAUAGCUUCUUGACAAAAAGCUCAAAAGCAUUUCCAAUCCUCCAUAUCAUGAAUAUUCUUGCAAGAAUGUCUUAUCAUGAGUGAAUACAUUAUCUUAUAGCGUCUCAAUAUGAAUUAAUCAAGUAACAAGGUCACCAAUUUCUUAAUAUAACUCACCUCUUUUAUGAUGUUGAAUAUUGAUUCAAAUCUAACAACUUUAGUUACCUGCUGCAAGGGUUUAAUAUGAGCUCUUACAAGUCAUUAAUUAUUUUGGAUUGGGUCCCUUUUAUAUUUUCUUUUCUACAUGGUGUGCUAUUGAAUUGUUUGAUCUGUUGAUUCUAGAUCCUAUGGUAAGGCUGCUAUAAAAUGCUAUGGAAGUGUUAAUUAUGAAGGAGAGUAAGCUUAUAUCUGAUAUGCAUUUGAAUUCAUCACUUAAUGUCAUGUUUAUGCUCUAUUAUGUUUUCUAUUUGUCUCUUUGAUCUGUCAUCACUUAAUGUCAUGUCUAUUAUGCUCUAUUAUCUUAUGUUUGCUUAGAACAUGUUUGUUAUUGUUAUAACCAUAGCUAUCACUAAUUAGGUGCAUACUACUCUUAGAUGGAAUGAAAUAUUUGGUGAAAUUUGUGAAGGCAGUAGCUUUAUUCAUUAAUUUUUUUGGACUGUGUCCCUUUUAAAAUUUCUUUUCUACAUAGCGUGCUAUUGAAUUGUUUGAUCUAUUGAUUGAUUCUGUGGCGUAUGGUAAGGCUGCUAUAAAAUGAUAUGGAAGUGUUACUUAUGAAGGAGAGUAAUCUCCCAGUGUGAUAAUGAAGUUUGCACUCUGAUUGGUCCAUGCUUCAAAUCUUUGCAUAAGCACUAUCCAGGCAUCAAGUGCCAUGAUUGUAGAUGCAAAUGCAACGUAAGAUGAACUCAUAUAUACUCCUACUAUUGUACAGUUCAUCACCAAAUGGUUUUGGUCUGCGCAUUUUGAUGUUCCUUUGUUCAGUGACGAACACACAGUCGGUUUCAAGGCUUAUACUUUAUCUCCAUGUUCUCUACAGCAGAUCAUCCCAACAAGUGAGUUUAAUUGUUAUUCAAUUUCUCCAUUUUCUUUCUUCUUUUUCUUCCGGUGUUUUUCUUCCUAAUUUUGCUUGUAUCAUUGUUGCUUUUCAUCUUUAGAGGGUAAUAUAAAAGUUCAGCUUCAGGAAAAAAAAGAUAAAGGAUUAAUCCGAAGUCCCUUACUGCACAUUAAAUAUUGUAGUCUCUUACUUUAAAUUCAUGUCUAUCUUAAGAAUUAACAUUUCCGAAUUUCAAUAACCAGGGAUUAUGAGUGAACCUCCAAUUCCCUGUUUUAAAUUGUGUUUUUAUUUUAACAAAAGGAUGCAUCUAACACUUGAUAGUGGAAAAUGUAUUUCGCAUAGAAUGAAAAGGAUAGAUAUGGAUUGUAAAAUUUGAAAUUUCUAGAUUAUUUGAUGAUUUAUUUUCUAAUAUUUGCUGAGAUUGUGUUUUUUGCGGAUAAAUGAUGGAUUAGCUUGAAAGUUUUGAUCAUCUGUGUUAUAAGAGAGUAUUAUAGUAUGGGGAAAUAUUGGUGGUGUUUGAUAUAGGUUACCUGGUUAUGCCUUUUUUCCUUUUUAAAUGCUAGAGGUAAAAAGAUUCUAACUUCUGCAUUAAUUUUCUCUGAUUAUGUCUCUUUGUGAUAUUUCAAUUAAUGGAAUUUCUUUAGUUUUGUUUGGUCGGUGGAAUGAGAUUUUUAUUGAGCAUGACUUAAGUGGUGGGGAUUGAAACAUAAAUGAAAAACUUCUAUAUACACCAUGCAUGUUCUCAUUUAAACUAAUGAGGUGAAAAGUACAAGCAAUACUAAUGAGGGAACUUUAGAUUGUAGGAUAUGAUAGAAGAUUAUCAAUUUGGUUUGGGGCCUUAGAUCUAUAUGCGACAUGAUUUCCUAAAGAGGGAGGGACCUGGAGUUUGAAGUUAUCAACCAAAUUAAUGGAAAAAAGGAGCUGUGAUUAUUUUUUGAAUUAUUGUUUAGAGAAAGAGAGAAAUAGAUUGAGUCUAUGUAUUGAUGUUUUUCUUUAAAGUAUAUCCUAAUGUACUCUUGCAUCCUUAUUGUGCAUUGAAACUUUUUUUUUCUUCAUAUUGUCAUGAUAAUGAUAAUUUAUGUGGUUGUUUUUGUAAAUUGAAUUUGGCUUCAUAUGAUAUAAUGAGAUUGGCCUAGAAAAGGCUUAUACAUUGAAGGUUGAUGAGAGGAAAGGAAGGUAGAAAUAAUUCUCAUAUGUUGAAGAAACAUAUUUUGGAA